UUAGUUGUAAAAAAAAAAUUAGAAUUAUUAAUAGUUAUGUUCUUUAAAAUUAAAGAUUUUGGCGGUAUUUUAGUCUAUUCAGAGGAACCUGUUCUAUAAUUGAUAGUCCACGAUAAAUUGAACUUAUUUUAUUAAUUUGUAUAACGUCGUAGAUGAAUAUUUUAAAAGAAAUUAAAUAUUCAAUAUUUUAAAUUAAAAUUUAAAUCAGAUCAUGUUGCAGUUUAUAGGUAAGGAGAAAUGGGUUACAAUAUACUUAUAUAUAUAGAUAAAAGAUUGAAAAUUUUUUUGAAAGUGGAUUUGAAAGUAAUUAAUUAAAUUUUUUUUUAAUGAUUUUAGCUCUAAAAUAUGU
rnacentral:rRNA from 1 species